rnacentral:rRNA from 1 species
CCUACGGGUGGCAGCAGUCGAGAAUCAUUCACAAUGGGGGAAACCCUGAUGGUGCGACGCCGCGUGGGGGAAUGAAGGUCUUCGGAUUGUAAACCCCUGUCAUGUGGGAGCAAAUUAAAAAGAUAGUACCACAAGAGGAAGAGACGGCUAACUCUGUGCCAGCAGCCGCGGUAAUACAGAGGUCUCAAGCGUUGUUCGGAAUCACUGGGCGUAAAGCGUGCGUAGGCUGUUUCGUAAGUCGUGUGUGAAAGGCGCGGGCUCAACCCGCGGACGGCACAUGAUACUGCGAGACGAGAGGAAUGGAGGGGGAACCGGAAUUCUCGGUGUAGCAGUGAAAUGCGUAGAUAUCGAGAGGAACACUCGUGGCGAAGGCGGGUUCCUGGACAUUAACUGACGCUGAGGCACGAAGGCCAGGGGAGCGAAAGGGAUUAGAUACCCCAGUAGUC